UACAUGGGGUGCAAACGUUGCUCGGAAUCAUUGGGCGUAAAGCGCGCGCAGGCGGCGGUGCUGGCCCGGCGUGAAAGCCCCCGGCUCAACCGGGGAGGGUCGUUGGGGACGGCGGGGCUUGAGGGCGGGAGAGGGCGGUGGAAUUCCCGGUGUAGUGGUGAAAUGCGUAGAGAUCGGGAGGAACACCUGUGGCGAAGGCGGCCGUCUGGGCCGACCCUGACGCUGAGGCGCGAAGGCGUGGGGAGCGAACGGG
rnacentral:rRNA from 1 species